AUCAUAUCAAUUCCUCAUCCGACGUUGCGCCGAUGCGCUCACAGCCACCGAGCAGAGAGGAGAGGUACUGAACGUAGGACAAAAGUAUCGACUGGCCUAGUGAUCCUGACCACCACUGUCUGAAGAUCACAUCUUAUCUGACUGGCCUCCAUGUUGUCCUCAAACCGAGUCGCCCCUGCAGGACUCCAGAAUUCGUAAACUACGAAGGAGACUCCAUCCGGUAGCCGAACUGCUGUCAUACUUGACAAACGCAAAAACAGGAUAUGAUGAG